CUGACAACCCUGGCAGGCAAUCCAGAGAAUUUAAUUGGGAAGUACUAUAUUUAAUCCCAUAACACCAUAAAACCUUUACCUGGGGGGUACUGUUAUACUUGGCUGAACACAAAUAUUAGUGUUUUAAAAGGUAAAACUUAUCACGACAAUAUCACCAAUAAAAGUGACGUUUUUGUUUUUAAAAAAUGCAACAAAAAAAAAUGCUAACUUUGGCAAGCGUUUGUGGCUAAGCCGCUACUCCAAAAGACUGGAAAUACUCCAUUUGGAAUACCCUGGGUUGUCUACUUUUUCAAACGGUGUGGUUACUUUUCAUUUCUGGGCUGCCAUACCGUCUCAAAGGCAACAUAGCCAAUCUGGCAAAUAGCAAUUUACAAAAACACAAAUUAGCAAAUCUUAU